rnacentral:lncRNA from 1 species
GAUUACCAUUUGAAUUUGAUUCUUUAUCAUUUGCAUAGUGAUGCAUUUGUAAACUUAUUUGAGCAAAAUAGUGAAUGCCAUUGGGUCUGAGAGAUUUAGAACCAAAUAACCUAAAGUAUACAGAUGGUUCUCAUGGUUAGAUCAUGUAUGAGAAGAAAUGAUCUGUCGACUGGAGAAAAUGGGUCUUUGGGCUCAUUGACUGUUAAGUCAUG